rnacentral:snoRNA from 1 species
CAUGGAUUAUUAUUAUUAUAUUUUUGAGUUGGAAUCUCACUCUGUUGCCCAGGCUGCAGUGCAGUGGCAUGCUCCUGGCCACU